rnacentral:rRNA from 1 species
GACGAACGCUGGCGGCGUGCUUAACACAUGCAAGUCGAACGGAAAGGCCCUGCUUUUGUGCGCUGCCCGAUGGCCGAACGGGUGAGUAACACGUGAAUAACCUGCCCUUGUUUUUCGGGUAACUUCAGGAAACUGGGCUUAAUCCCGUAUAGGAUCCCCCCCUGCAUGGAGGGGGUUGGAAAGUCUCGGCGGUUGGGGAUGGAUUCGCCGGUUAUCAGCUUGUUGGUGGGGUAGUGGUUUACCAACGCUUUGACUGGUAGCCGGCCUGGGUGGGUGACCGGCCACAUUGGGACUGAGGUAGGGCGCAGAGUCCUACGGGGGGCAGCGGUGGCGAAUAUUGCACAAUGGGAGGAAGCCGGAUGCAGCGGCGCCGCGGGCGGGAUGACGGCCUUCGGGUUGUGAACCGCUUUCGCCUGUGACGAAGCGGGAGUGACGGUAAUGGGUAAAGAAGCACCGGCUAACUACGUG